UGCUAUCGGAUUGAUACUAAGCCAUGCGAGUCUUUGCAGUAAUGCAAGGCGGACUGCUCAGUAACACGUAGUCAACUUAACCUAUGGAUGGGUAUAACCUCGGGAAUCUGAGAAUAAUUCCCAAUAGAUCAUUUAUCCUGGAAUGGUUAGUGAUUGAAAUGAUUCGUCGCCAUAGGAUAGGACUGCGGCCUAUCAGCUUGUUGGUGAGGUAAAGGCCCACCAAGGCUAUUACAGGUACGGGCUCUGAGAGAAGAAGCCCGGAGAUGGGUACUGAGACACGGACCCAGGCCCUAUGGGGCGCAGCAGGCGAGAAAACUUUGCAAUGUGCGAAAGCACGACAAGGUUAAUCCGAGUGAUUUCUGCUAAAGAAAUCUUUUGCCAGUUCUAAAAAUACUGGUGAAUAAGGGGUGGGCAAGUUCUGGUGCCAGCAGCCGCGGUAAU
rnacentral:rRNA from 1 species